GAAUAAGAAGAUUAGAGGACAUACUUGUUUGAAUUUGCUUGACAAAGGUUGAAUCAAUAGUUACUAUUGAUUUUAUUGCUUGAAGUUGAAAAUGCUUGAGCUUCAAGAAAAUUAUUCUUUGUUGAUCGAAAGAUGCAUCUCCUUCUUUUGAUGCAAGAUAAGAAUGUCAAAAAAAGAUGUUUAAUAGACCUUGUUUUUUUUUUGGAUUGAUUAGUGAUCUUAAAAUUGAAUCUGGAUAAAGACAUGCUCCAAUGGAUUUGAUGAUGAUUCAAAACAUGUACCACAAUGAAGUACUUGAAGUUCUUAUG
rnacentral:lncRNA from 1 species